rfam:Paenibacillus sp. DMB20 gs_38, whole genome shotgun sequence.
GCAAGUUCGAUGAUCGGGAGAGUAAUGAACGGACGUCUAUGUCCAAGCGAGCCGGGAGAGUGGGAGCCGGUACAGACGCGUUCACGAAACGGACCCGGGAGAUGGACUUCCGAAGCGCAACUAGGGAGCCCCGGUUUACGCCGUUAAAGUAUACGAAAGUGGUCGACCCAAACAAGGUUGGCAACGAGAGUGGUACCGCGAGAACUAUAGUCCUCGUCUCUUAU